AACGAACGCUGGCGGCAGGCCUAACACAUGCAAGUCGAACGCCCCGCAAGGGGAGUGGCGCACGGGUGAGUAACGCGUGGGAAUAUGCCCUUCACUACGGAACAACGUCGGGAAACUGACGCUAAUACCGUAUAAUGACUCCGGUCCAAAGAUUUAUCGGUGAAGGAUUAGCCCGCGUAAGAUUAGGUAGUUGGUGAGGU
rnacentral:rRNA from 1 species